rnacentral:lncRNA from 1 species
GUUCAGGCUAGUUUUACUGACCUGUUUUUUCUCCUUCUCUCUUUUUUUGUUCUUCGUUACAAGGGAUGGUUCUCCAGAGAAGGGAGAAAAUUUCUGAAACUAACAAAAAUGGUGCACCAUCUGGUUCAUUCUUUCUGUGGUCAGCUAAAAAUAUGCCCAGAAUUUUUGAAUAUAAAGGCUGUCUAAGAAACAAAACUGUGAUGGAACUUCUUUGGGUGACCCACAAUUAAAAUUCACAGGGUGAUGUCUUGACUUACAUGGGAAUUGGACUUAAGUAAGGCAGACCUGUAUAAAGUUGUCAGCUUCACUCCUUCCGGAGUUACUGAAAUCCAGACGCAAGACAAAAAGUCAAGAUGCCUGGUGAUGACUUGGGAUGCAGUGAAGAUCUUGGCAUCUUUGACAUCUGAUCAAGCUUUAAGUGAUCCAGGGUCUGCUUCAGCUGCCUUCAUGGCGAAUGGAACAAAUUGUUCUUUUCUGCCUAUCCUGUUGAAUGAACUUAUGCAUCCAUAGGGAAGCCAUUUUUUAACUGGGACCCUGUUCUGAAUAUCUGUUUCAGUGACAAACUUCAGAGGGAUUAUUUGGCUCACAGUUAGGAAGGGGUCAAGCUUCUGACUCAAAGUCCAAUCAUCCCGAAUCCCACCCAAAAAACCUGCUAUUAGUGAAAGGCAACACUAUUUUUGUGGCAUCUGGAGCACUUUGACAAUGUGUUUCUUCUCAGAAGAAUCCAUUUGAUCAGUGUCAAUAGGGUGACCCAAGGCAAACUUGGCAAUGUGAAUUACUUCCCUUACCAUAAAAUGGGGCUGGGAUUAUGUGGUGAGGUGUGCCUAAGACAGAAUUAACUCUCUUUGUUGAUUUUAAAUGCUAUCCUCCUUCAAACAUCAUAUAAACUCCUUGUAUCUUACAUGCUACUGGGCACAGUCAUUUAUAUUGGAAGGUGGAGUCAGUCAAUAACAUUAGAAAGAAAGAAGCAUGGGUGCAAUUAAACCUUUCUUUGGUUAAAUCAUAACUUUCCCCCUUUCCCCAAACCUGCUCAUUUAACACUAGAAAGACCCAUUGAUGGAAUCAAAUUUUAAAAGAAAUGAAUAAUUUACAAUAAUUUUUCUUUUUGUGCAAAUGUACUUUAAAUACAGAAAAUUACAAACCGAUAUUAUAAUUCAACUUUGAAAUAAACAUUUUCAUC